rnacentral:rRNA from 1 species
UACGGAGGGUGCGAGCGUUGUCCGGAAUCAUUGGGCGUAAGGGCGCGUAGGUGGCGGCUUAAGCGUGCGGUGAAAGCUCGGGGCUCAACCCCGAGUCGGCCGUGCGAACUGAGUCGCUUGAGCACUGUAGAGGCAGGCGGAAUUCCGGGUGUAGCGGUGGAAUGCGUAGAGAGUCCGGAAGAACACCGGUGGCGAAGGCGGCCUGCUGGGCAGUAGCUGACACUGAGGCGCGACAGCGUGGGGAGCAACAGG